rnacentral:rRNA from 1 species
UACAGAGGGGGCAAGCGUUGUUCGGAAUUACUGGGCGUAAAGGGCGCGUAGGCGGCCGCCUAAGUCAGACGUGAAAUCCCUCGGCUCAACCGGGAACUGCGUCUGAUACUGGGUGGCUUGAAUCCGGGAGAGGGAUGCGGAAUUCCAGGUGUAGCGGUGAAAUGCGUAGAUAUCUGGAGGAACACCGGUGGCGAAGGCGGCAUCCUGGACCGGCAUUGACGCUGAGGCGCGAAAGCCAGGGGAGCAAACAGG